rfam:Lactonifactor longoviformis DSM 17459 genome assembly, contig: EJ64DRAFT_scaffold00062.62
AUGAGAUAUCCCAUUCUUUAGAAGAAGUAAGACCCCUUGAAGACGACGAGGUAGAUAGGGCAGAGGUGGAAGUGCAGCAAUGCAUGGAGCUGACUGUUACUAAUCGGUCGAGGGCUUGACCUG